rnacentral:rRNA from 1 species
AUGUUGCCAUCACCGACAUCGAGCAAGACUUUCGUCCGGGGAAUCUGGAACCGAACGCCAAGGACAGAAGUCCCUGACCACACAACCGCCAGCCACCCGCACCGCCCCAGCACGCGUCGCUCCAAAAAUGACCGCAAGCAUCAACGCAGGCCACGACGCGGCCAGAUCGGACCCGCCUGCCUGCCAACAGCCGCAGCAGCACACCCAUCGACUUCUAGGCAGCAGCACCAGCUUGAGACUGCACCCCACGGCCGGUUCGGCGCAGAUCCGCUGCUCCACUCGCCCGCGAUUGGUCCGGGUGAGCCCAGAUUGGGCCCGCCCCGCCAGCAUCCACAACAGCGCUCCCGCAACCACCAGAGGGAGCAGAGGCGCCGCUGCCUCGGGCUCUGA